rnacentral:rRNA from 1 species
UUAGUCUUAUAAUUUAAGACUGGAAUGAAAGAACUCACCAAAGAACUUAUGUCUUAUAUAUAUAUAUCAAAUUUUACUUUUUAGUUAAAAGGCUAAAAUAAUAUUUUUAGACAAGAAGACCCUAUAAAGCUUCACAUAUUAAAAUUUAAAGAUUUAUAUUAUGUUUAACUGGGGCGGUAAAGAGAUAAACACUCUUAAAUCAUUAAAUAUCUUAAUGCUUAUACCCAAAAUUUUUGAAAAUCAAAUAAGUUACUUUAGGGAUAACAGCGUUAUAUAUUUAAAGAUUCUAAUCGAAAAAUAUGUUUGCGACCUCGAUGUUGAAUUGAAUUUUCUUUAUUAUGCAAGAGUAAUA